rnacentral:RNase_P_RNA from 2 species
GAGAUGAGCUACACAGCCAACGUGGUCCAUCCCGCCGGGACGGGCCACGCCUGCGAGGAAAGUCCCCCCACCUGCCGAACGGGUGACCGGACGCAAGUCCGGGGCGGGAGACCGCCGGCUCUGGAACAGAAACGACACGUCUCGGCCGGACCGAUGAGGCGAGCGAACCCGACCGAAAGGAAGGGGAGUUGACCCGCCGAGGGAGGGCGAUUCUCGGCAAUCAGCCGAGAAUCGCCGGAAUGUGAGGCGGCACGAGCCGCCGAACGGCGCGGUUCGGAGUGUCGCAGACACGAGAACCGCGCUUCCGAUGGCCGAGGAUCGAUGGAACGGCGAAUCCUCACCGGUGCAAGUCCACGCCGCUGGUAGUUCGGCACGCCGCGGCAUCGCCGCGGGCGGUGUGGACGCUUAGCCAAAUGCCGGGCCGAACAGAAGGGGGCUUACUCCUCUC